UUUACUCUGUUUAUGGGAGUAACUGCUGAUCAACUAAUGGCUGGAUAGAUAAAUGUUGGAGUAUCUUGGAUUCAUCAGCUGAGUAUUAUUGCCUAGAUGACUUAUGGAAGCAACAGUUAAGAGUUAAGUGGUUCAUGUUUACAGAGAUCUCAGCUUCAACAACUUGACAGGCAAUGUUCCGAUCUCCUUGGAGAAGUUGCAAAAACUAGAUUUCAUGUUCUUGACCAGCAACAGGCUUGCCGGACCUAUACCUCACUGGAUUUUGAAAACAAAUAGAAGUGUGCAUGAGUCUCUUUUCCUCUUGAGAUUAUCUUUGCCUGUUAAUUGUUUCUAUGUAAGUUUGUAUGCAUCUUUCCAUUGCAUACUGUUUCUAUGGAUUGGAAAUGUAUUUUAAAUUGUACAAACAGAAACUUGCAGUUCCACAGCCUCAAUCUGAGUCACAAACACAAAUUCAGUCUCCCCAACAAAUUUCUCAAACCUAGCAGGUUGAGACUCAGCUCAGGCAGCAACAGCUGGUACAACUCCAGCAACAGUCUUUAUCUUCAUCGUUCAGUAACUUAUUACACAUUCUUGUAUAUGUCAAAGGUUACUAUUGUUCAUUGUGUAACUCUUGCAAAUUGGCCACCAUGUAUCAAAGGAAUGCAGAGAUGUCCUGCCAUUCCAACGCUUUCAUCGCAUUACCAAGUUCUAUUCUUCUUCUCUCAAUAACCCAUUUAAUCAGAUUCCUAAAGCCUCCAGGUUUUCUUAUUUCCUAAAUCACCAUGCAAUCAUUGACAUUUAAGUAAAAAGAAGGGAAAAUCAGUUGAAAGUGACAGAACAAAGCUUGUUUUUUCAACUUGUCUAUUGCAAAUUUGCAAUUUCUAUAUUCAGUUAGGGGUUGUUUGGAUUGGUGGAAAUGGAAAAUAAAAAAGUAGCCAAGGAAAACAUCCAUCUUUUUUGUGUUAAAAUAAGCUCUUUGCGGAUUAAAACACUCGAUUUGGGCGACUUGGAUGAAUCAAAGUUCUGUAGGCCAUUUUGGAGAAAAUUUGAAAAAGAUGCAAGUUUCAAUUUCUUUUCUUUCUAGUUUCUUGCUGGAAUAGAUAUGGGAUGAAUUUUAAUCCAUGUAGUAGAUUAGGUCUUUUAAUCCAAUUUUCGUUGCAGGGAGUGUUUAGCAAAGUCAAGUCAGUGGUAAUGGUGGAUACUCACAAUCUCAUGAUCAGGUGAGAUAUGGUUGCCUUGAAUGUUUGUUUCUAAGCCUUUUCUGUCUUAUUUGGAUUGAGUUUAUCUUGAUUUUACAUAAGCUUUGAUGGAGAUGUGAGUACAGGUUAUAUAUACAGACAUGGGUCCACCAGAUGAACAGUCGGUAUCAGUAGGCUGUGUAAAGGAUAGAUGACCUCUUUUACUUUUAUUUCAUUAUUGUUGGAUUUAUCAAUUCUUAGAAAUGUAUGAGUUUUUUUACCAGUGCAUCUACCAAUAUUUAUGUAUUCUACACUGUCUGUAUAUGAAUAUUCAUAUUGGCCUUUGUGGAAAUUUUUUUUAAUACAACCCACCACUGACUGUGGGCUGUAUACACAGCCAUACCACCGUGUGUACAGCUGCAUACACAGUUGCAAAUAGGUUACUAUACACAAACUGCUAUGCAUACAGAUGCUAUAUUUUAGCAUGCAAACCUUUUUUUCCUGACUGGAUUGGGCACUAUCAGGGCAAGUAGGUUACUAUACACAAACUACAUUGGUUGUUCAUUGACUUUCACAUAACAACAUUUUCUUGGAAA